UACGAAGGGGGCUAGCGUUGCUCGGAAUCACUGGGCGUAAAGGGUGCGUAGGCGGGUCUUUAAGUCAGAGGUGAAAUCCUGGAGCUCAACUCCAGAACUGCCUUUGAUACUGAGGAUCUUGAGUUCGGGAGAGGUGAGUGGAACUGCGAGUGUAGUGGUGAAAUUCGUAGAUAUUCGCAAGAACACCAGUGGCGAAGGCGGCUCACUGGUCCGGUACUGACGCUGAGGUGCGAAAGCGUGGGGAGCAAACAGG
rnacentral:rRNA from 1 species